CCCGCCGGACCUGACUGCUAUCGGAUUGAUNCNNNNNNAUGCGAGUCAUUGUAGUAAUACAAGGCAGACGGCUCAGUAACGCGUAGUCAACCUAACCUAUGGACGGGGAUAACCUCGGGAAACUGAGAAUAAUACCCGAUAGAACAUUAUGCCUGGAACGGUUUAUGUUUCAAAUAAUUUAUUGCCGUAGGAUGGGACUGCGGCCUAUCAGUUUGUUGGUGAGGUAAUGGCCCACCAAGACUAUUACAGGUACGGGCUCUGAGAGGAGUAGCCCGGAGAUGGGUACUGAGACACGGACCCAGGCCCUAUGGGGCGCGGCAGGCGAGAAAACUUUGCAAUGUGCGAAAGCACGACAAGGUUAAUCCGAGUGGUUUCUGCUAAAGGAACCUUUUGCCAGUCCUAGAAACACUGGUGAAUAAGGGGUGGGCAAGUUCUGGUGUCAGCCGCCGCGGUAAAACCAGCACCUCAAGUGGUCAGGAUGAUUAUUGGGCCUAAAGCAUCCGUAGCCUGCUUUGUUAGUUUUCGGUUAAAUCUAUUCGC
rnacentral:rRNA from 1 species